rnacentral:rRNA from 1 species
UACGUAGGGUGCGAGCGUUAAUCGGAAUUACUGGGCGUAAAGCGUGCGCAGGCGGUUCUCCAAGUCCGUUGUGAAAGCCCCGGGCUCAACCUGGGAACUGCAUUUGUGACUGUAGAGCUGGAGUGCGGCAGAGGGGGAUGGAAUUCCGCGUGUAGCAGUGAAAUGCGUAGAUAUGCGGAGGAACACCGAUGGCGAAGGCAAUCCCCUGGGCCUGCACUGACGCUCAUGCACGAAAGCGUGGGGAGCAAACAGG